rnacentral:lncRNA from 1 species
UUAGAUCUGUAUCACAUGGUCUAUUAAUAUCAUUCUGGGGCAUUAGAGGGGCGUGUCCUUACAGGUGUUUACCUGGUGUUGUCUCGACAACUGGCACAAGGUAAUUUGAGAUAAUACAAAGUUUAGAUUCUUUGAGGUAGAGACCCAGAAGGGAGGGAGGGUGACCUCACAUACUUACUAUGGCACCAGUCUAGGAUGUGUGUAGACUACAUGUGAUGGUUCACCUGAUAGAGUCUAGGAGGUGUGUAGUCUACAUGUGAUGGUUCACCUGAUAGAGGAUGUGUAUAGACUACAUGUGAUGGUUCACCUGAUAGAGGAUGUGUGUAGACUACAUGUGUUGGUUCACCUGAUAGAGUCUAGGAUGUGUGUAGACUACAUGUGAUGGUUCACCUGAUAGAGAGAAGGACUGGAGCACACAGCUAUAGGAAUAUUAGGUGAGUGUUUAGUUGACUUGCUGCAUGGCUUUACACACACACAUACACACAUACACACACACACACCUGAAACACCACACCACAGUCCUCAUUCAGUAAUAGUGUUUUCCAUAACGUCCUCAGGGUGGAGUGAUAACAUUACUAGUUGUGAGAGUCUCCUUUUCCCCGGCUGAGCUGAGAUGGACGUGUGUCUGAUCCCACUGGGGGAGAACCCAGAGGAGUAUCAGCAAAGGAUCAUGGGAGCUAGAGUCCAGAGACAAGUGCUGACUUCCUACAAAGAGGAGCUGGUCAGAGCUGGACAGAGUACUCCUGUGUUUCAGAGACCUACAGUGGGUGAGUGACUCAUCAUAAAGCCACAUACUACAUUCCAUAUUGGCCCCUAUAUAUCUGAAAGUAGCCUAGUGGUUAGAGCGUUGGACUAGUAACUCUAUAUAUCUGAAGGUAGCCUAGUGGUUAGAGCGUUGGACUAGUAACUGGAAGGUUGCAAGUUCAAACCCCUGAGCUGACAAGGUACAAAUAUAUAUAU